ACCUGACGGACAGCUAGCCAAAGCGGGACGCGAAAAAACCCGCGCAAUUCGCGGUUGCUAGGGCAACCAACGCGUGGGCAGCCAGCGCUCUCAUCGAAGCAAGAACGAAUCGGAUCGAAUCAUCGCGUGUGUGCAACCGAAGGCGCGAAAAUUGAAACACGUGCUUCUGGAGAAGCGCAGCAAGGGUCGAAUUAUCCCCUAAUCCACCAAACCGGUGCGGCACGAUGGAUCACGUGGAACGAGCUCGCAGCGGCGAUGAGGACAUCGAACCUAGUCGCAAACCGCGAGUUCAC